rnacentral:lncRNA from 1 species
UGUUCUUGUUCUUCAACACAUACAGUAUCUCUUGUCACUGAAGGAACAGACGUCGCGCCUGCUGAGGGUCUCUGGUGGUUUUCUCGGGUCUGCUGAGAGCUCAGUAAUGCAUGUGACCGGGGGGAACCUUUGUGUCCUGCGAUGGCCUUUCAGGCUAAGGUGAUAACAACUGUGCCUAAUUGUUUGGAAGGGAUCUGGGUGGAGGCCGUACUACAGCGGUGAAGUCAGAGCGAGGACAUGAGCUUCCAGGAUGUGGAUGUGGAGGUUUUUUUAAUUGUGUUUACCCUCAAUGCCCACGAAACCCUCCUUUUCUAUGUAAUGACACACCUUGUGACUAUAACUGCACCAUGUUAG